rnacentral:misc_RNA from 1 species
GGGAGUCUGAUUUUUUUUUUUUUUCUGGUCAAAGAGAUGGAAGUCUGAUUUCUGAUCCCAAACAUGCACGUUAUGUGGGGAAUAGUGCCCAUAGUUGUUAAUCUGCAUCACGUAAAUUGCAUCUCACUCUGUAAAUGAACGUCUAGUGGUUCUUUACUUCGUUUGGGCUUCAUCCGUGUUACCAUGCUAUGCCGGUGAAAGAAUGCAAGCAGUUAACCCAUCAGGCGGCCAAAUCAAUCAUGUAGGACUAACUAAAAAGGGGGAGGGGGCAAGACAUUUGCGUUAAUACUAUGUUUUACUAAUUGUAUUAAUAACCCAAAAUUGGCUGAUGCCGCCAACAUGAAAUCGCUACAUCUAAUAUUGGCACACUAAUUCCUGAGUUUGAAUUUGUAUUGAGUUAGAAAAAAAAAAACACAUAUUUUAGCUCAGCAAUAAGCUUCCGCCAUGACUAAUAGCACAAGUGAUGUCCAACCAGUAAACAGGCGUGCACCCUUUCCUUUGCCCUUCUUCUGAUCAUACUGUUCCCACAAAAACCCAGUUUGGUGAUAAUUCUGAACCACAUUUCUAAUCAAAUUGCUCCUCAAGUCCUCAUAGAUCGCCUUGGCCCUAUCUUUGUACGGUCCAUCUUCUGCAAAAGUUCAACAAGUUAAAAGAUAAAAGAUAAAAACUAGGCCUGAGCUUUCAGGAAUCAAAGUAAUUCCUUCACUCUCUACUGUGGGUGUUUGAGGUGGAGGAAUGGUGAUGAGUAUUGGUUGAUACCUUUGGAGUAGUGGUAGAGUGCAGAAAGAAUCCUGUAAUUAAAGUUCAUCCAAAUUGGGCCCCUCCAAUAAGGUGGGUCAUGCUCUGUGUUGCGUUUCAUGUACAGAGAACUAAGGAGAAGACGCAUUUAGAAAAAUAACCUCUCAAACAAAUAUGCAGAACUCAAGUAAAAGACCAUAAGGCAAGCUAAAAACCUUGUUUUAGCUAGAGAACGUAACCCAUAGUCAGUCCAUAAGAUGCUCCUGUUUAAAAUGAGGUCAAGCUGUUUUUCCAGAAUCCAUGAAUCCUACAUUGAAGUGUUAUAAGAGAGAAAUCUAGAAUAAGCUCAUUAAAAACCGGCAAGUGAUGUCAUUAUGUGUCCAUCGUACAAAAAUAGUAAGAUAAGCAUCAGGGAACUGAUGUCCAUUUUAUAAAUGUUCCAUGCAACUCACAGAUGGAAUGAUCUUCUCCAUGAAUGGAAAAAGGCUGACAUAACCAACAUGAGGAAUUAGUCUCAACUCUGGCCUUUCUAAUACUUCCCGAACAAGCUCCCGCUUUACAUAACUGUUCUCCACAAUUGUCUCUUUCCAACUUAACCGAACCUAACAUGUUCAGCAAUUAGCAUAUUUCAUAAGAAAAGAAAAAUGCUAUGCUAACUAAAUUUAUUUCAACAGGUCAGGGGAACCUUAUUGGACAACAAUAGUCUCUCUAGCUCUAUUUAUUACAAUGAAAUGACACGCUAAAAUAUUAGGACCAUAAUUUUUUACAUUCUAAAUUUUACAAUCUUCAUAACAGAUAAUGGUAGGCUUAGCAAGUUAUAGUCCAGGGGCUAGUUAUUGAAUAACACGGAUGGGACAUCUGUAUAGACCACAAAGAGGAACGAAUAAUAAGAACACAAGUACAUCAUAGACAGUAGAAUCUACAACUAACUAAUAAGCUGUCAGAACAAUAUAACAAGAUCUUUCCAGUGUAUCUGUAACCAAAGGUACUGAAAUCUGAGGAAAAACAGUAAGAAAACAGCAAAGUACCUUAUCUGUAUGAUUUCCAAAAUCAAAAUAUGCUCCAUAAGCAGGAUCAAGGUGCAUCUGAUUGAGCAUUUCAAAAUCUGAAAGUAGCUUAGCUGUUGAACCAUAAUCCUUCCCAGACCCGUAUUCUUUCUUUAACAGCUGUGUGAUAGAAUUCAUGCAAUUUGCAGCAAGAAGCAUCCAGCACCUAAGAUCCAAGUGACGUUCUUCUUCACUUGGAUGUGAAGCACGAGGAUAAUCAUCCAGUCCAGAGGAAAGUGUCUUUGGGUUUAGCUCCCGAGUAGUUGAGUUGUCCCUCCCAUGCCAAAAAUAGCUGCCAAUCUCCUUCCCUGACUGUGUAGUAUUGAACCACUGGAACCAAGCUUCAAGGCGAACAAAAGCCCGCUCCAGGAAAGAGAUGAUCUCAUUGCUUUCAGCAGAUGUAAACUUAUUUUUCUCUAUGCCAUGAAGUAGAUCACUUAUAACCAAAAAUAGUGUUGGAGGAUUUCCAUUAGUUGGAUGCUGACGAACAAAUUCCUCUGGAACCUUACUUAGAGAUUCAGAUCCCAGUAUUUGUUCCCGAGGAAUCCAUCCAUCAAUGUUCAUUAAAUCUAACCAGUGGCCAACUAUAUCCAAGCAUAUGCUGAUAUCCCAACGCCAGAUCAACAGUUGAUGAAAACCUUCAUCCCAUAGAAAUCCCCUUGGAAAGAAGGGUCGACUUGGAACUGCUGUGUAAAGCUCAGCUGGCCAAUAUGCGAGAAAAUUAUCAUGAUCUUUAUGAUUAGAAUUUCUACCAUAUGCAAUUUUUGAUUGACCAUAAAAGUAGCCAAUACCUCCCAACAUAUUGGCAACAGCAACCUUACCAACAACUCUGGAUUCAGAUUCAAGCUUGCUAGCAAUAUUAAAGCACUGCUCAAACUUGGCAUCAAAUUCUGAUUGCUUUUCUUGUAAUUGAUUUGUCAGUAAGGUGCCUGUCAGGCUGUUUACACGUGCUUUUACUCUUGAAUCUUUUACUCCAGUUCCAGACACAAAAGCAAUAUCUGUUUUGAAUGGAAUCCUAGCAGAAAUCUGAAAAACUAAGAUAUUUGAAGAAUCUUCAGAUGAGUCAGCUAGCUGCAGUAGGCCAAACUUUCUCAGUUGGGUCCCAAGAUUUUGCUGGAUGAGAUCAGACAAAUUGUGGAUAUGAGGUGUCCUGAAGCCAGAAUAGUGGAUCUCCAAAACAUCCUUAGAUUCUAAAUGCAGCUGCCAAUCUCCAAUGUCUGAACGUGAACCUGAUGCCAGAAGAGAAUUCUCAUGCAUGUCUAUUUUAUCUUUUGUCAAACUUAGAGGACUUCCGUCUUCAUUAGUCAAAUAGAAAAACAAAUGCCCAUUUUGCUGCAUUUCUUUGUUCCAGUCAGAUUUCUCACUUUGGGCAUCAAUGCGAACUGCCCAAUCUCCUCCAUAGCCACUGCCUUCACUUCUGGAUUUCAAAAAACUGGUUUCCAACUUCAAGCCGUGAUCAACUAGUAUUUGGUGCCCAAAAUCACGACCAUUAUGUUGUGUCCAGCCAUAAGUGCUUAGCUCAUCAGAGUCUUGGCAAAAAUGUCUUAUAAAAUACCUUCCAUCCUUUAAGCCUAUCCACAUUAAACCAGCGACCAAAGACUGAGGAGUCCUAGCGCGAAUUCCGAGAUAAACAUGAGGACGAUAUGUUCCCCAGUACAAGCUCUCUUUGUGCUCAUCUUGGAACUGAGGAAGGUCCAUGAGCUUCAGAGCAGGAAAGGGAGUGACAACCCUAGGCCUCUGAGCUGGCUCAAUAGGCUUCAUGAGAUUGUGAAUCAAGAAGAAGAUAACUAAGAACGAGAACACGCCAAUUCCUAGCAUGAUUUUGAGAUUAACACUUAGGAUUCGAAUCAAACUGUGAUCCUUACUUCUAUCUCUCCGUAGUUUGAAGUUAGGUUUCGUACUACGGAGAGCACCAUCGUUGCCGCUGUCCGUGGUGGACUUGAUUCUGCUCCGAGCACUGCUCCUGCCACUUCCAGCCAUUUGAGGCUGAGCGAGUACCAAAUUUAGCUGUUUAUAUCUAGUGCAUUUGAUCGGCGAAGCAACAUGGAUGAGUAAUGGAAUGGAGGUUUUGAUAAGAAGAGGAAUUGGUGAAGCUGGCGCUUUC